rfam:Penicillium chrysogenum Wisconsin 54-1255 complete genome, contig Pc00c22
ACAUACGACCAUGGGGUGUGGAAAACAGGGCUUCCCGUCCGCUCAGCCGUACUUAAGCCACACGCCGGUGAGUUAGUAGUUGGGUGGGUGACCACCAGCGAAUCCUCACUGUUGUAUGUU